UACGUAGGGACCAAGCGUUGUUCGGAUUUACUGGGCGUAAAGUGCGCGUAGGCGGCAAAUUAAGUCAGCUGUGAAAUCCCCGGGCUUAACCUGGGAACUGCAUUUGUGACUGCAUCGCUGGAGUGCGGCAGAGGGGGAUGGAAUUCCGCGUGUAGCAGUGAAAUGCGUAGAUAUGCGGAGGAACACCGAUGGCGAAGGCAAUCCCCUGGGCCUGCACUGACGCUCAUGCACGAAAGCGUGGGGAGCAAGCAGG
rnacentral:rRNA from 1 species